rnacentral:lncRNA from 1 species
GAGGAGGUCGCUCAUGUAACAAUGUUAAUGCCAAACGAUUAAAUCCUAAAGGAGAAGAUUUUAUUUUAGCAACGGAAGUCCUUAUUUUCAUGUUCCGUUGAUUUCUGCUUUUUGAGGUUCGCUUUCAUCGAGAAGAAGUCAAAACAUUUCCAUUUAAAAUGACAUAGUCCUACGUGUUCAAGAUGUCUAACACCAAACUACUGCAGUUACGGAGCUUUUUAACGGAGCGCUUUUCUGCUGUGGCCGCGGAGAUAUUUGGAGAAAUCGAAACUGUAGUGGAGGCGUGUAAUGAGGAAAACAAACGCCUGCGGGAUGUGUUGCACAUGGUGCUUAACCCCGAGAUAAAGUUAUCAAAGAUAGAUGUUGGCCAAUACACUGGAGCAACAGAUGAGCCCUCUAAGCUGAACUCUAGGCAGGACCAGGAAACACCAGAGCCACUGCCUAAAAAAGUUAAAGAAGAGAAUAUUGAAUAUGACAUAAAUUGGGGAUCAGAACAACAACAAGGGCCGGGGGAAGUUAAUAACUUUAUUACCCCAGAGCGUGUGAAAACUGAAACCGAAGAAGAAAACGCAAGCAUGCCCUUCAUCACUAACUCAUUUCAUAUCACAGGUGUUGAGUUCAAUCCCAACUCUUCAGGUACUGAUGAAGAGAAGGACAGUUACCCACCGGACUUGGAUGCAAUCACAGAUUACCCACAGAUAUCCAGCAUGAAUGAAACUCAGGAACCUCAAAAACAUUAUAAAAUGUCAACAAGAAGCUUAACGAAGCCAAAGUUGUCCCUGCAGAAAACGAUGCUAGAAUUACCAAGAAUGGUGCCGCACCAAUCUGUCGCUCCUACCUCAACUGACUGCCAGUCCUUUUUGGCAAGGCUCACCGAAGCCUUCAAGGAUUUUCCAGAUGACAAGAAGCCUCUGAUAACCAAAAUGGGCCUCACAAAUAAUGUGGAAUUAGUGGACUGUGUAUUGGGUAAAGUCCCUAAAGGUAGCCCCCUGUCCUACCAGUGCCGCGUGCCAUCAGGUCGGGAUUACAAGAUUUAUGACGAUGCUCCCCCCCGGCCUCUGCUUCCCCUGGCUAACCACAGUCUGGAGCCAUUGUUGGCUCUUCCUAUCCUCAGUGUGAGGGAGCAGGAACACAUUGACGUCAUGCAGAUCACCUGGGAGGCAGCACGCAGUCUGGAGCACUCCACACGUGGACGCAAGGAGGCAGUAGAGGAGCUGCGAAAUCUGCGCCUGACAAGCCGUUUCAGGGAGAUCUGCAAUCUUAAACCAGGAAUGAGCAAUGCGGAGCACCUGAUAUUCAAGAUGCGGAAAGGAUUCCACAGGGGCAAGGCGGCUCAGAUAGAGGACGAGAUGAAGGCCGAAGCACUCCGGGAGUACUGUAAGCAUUUGUGCGUCAACUGGUCCACCUGCGGUUUGGUUGUCCAUCCGAAUGCUCCGUGGCUGGGGGCGCUGCCUGACGGGUUGGUGUACGACCCCAAGGAGACACCCAGUUACGGGCUGGUGCAUGUCAAAUGCAUUGGGGACCGGAGCUUCGUCGAGUGCAAUUUCCUGUUCUAUCAGGACGGAGUCUUGCAACUGAAGAGGACCCACUCGACCUACUGGCACAUCCAAGGAGAGAUGAUGGUGACGGGCACGGAGUGGUGUGAUCUGUUGGUGUUCUCCAAAGAAGACAUGCUGGUUCAUCGCAUCUACCGAGACACGGCUAUCAUCAAGGUCAUGAAGAAGAAGUUAGAUGAUUUCUUUUUCUAUUACUACCUGCCAUGUCUGUUUAAAACAGAUGGCAUGGUUUGAGUUUUGUCACACUUCUGUCGUACAGUACUCGCUGUUCCCCUCAGGUCGUGAGUUUUAACAAAUAGCAAGCUACUUGAACGUGAUUAAUGAAAAACUACUGGCCUCAUUUGCAUGAAACUUGGUGGAAGGGUGUAGCAUGGGCCAAGGAAGAACCACUGUUGAGACAGCCAGAUCCCUGAUGCAAUUCAAAGCUUAAGUUUAUAUUUGCCAUCUUUCCCCUUCUUACUACUCUCCAAAGCUGCCCUGUUGUAGGACUGCACCGUCUGUAAAUAUUCUUUUUUUAUUAUUAUUGAUUAAUCUGCUGAUCUUUUAAGUGUCAGAAAAGUGUAAAACAUGUCUGCCUCAAUUUCCCAGAACCCAAGCUCACAUUGAUUAUGUCUGAUUGUUCAUUUACGAUUAAGAAAACCAUGGAAAUAUACACAUUUGAGAAGCUGGAACUUGGGAACAUUUGGGAUUUCUCCUUUAAAAAAUGACAUACAUGGUUCAUUGAUUAUUAAAAUUGUUGUUUUUUAUUAUUGAUUUGCCAACUAAUUGUUUGAGCGUUCUUUCUCGUGUUUAUUGGUUAAUGUUCUAUCAAGUAUCACAUAGGAAGCAUUGCAGGUUCAAAUGUUGGUACAAAUUGGGGAUGUUAAGAGACUCCCAAAGCAUAAUAAGUAAUAAAUGUUACUGCCGUUUUUAAACAGAAAAUGCUUUCUAUAGUGCAUUCUUGUUAUUCCCUUCUGCUCUGUUGUAUGUUACUCUUCUACUCUGACGGCAGCUGCAACAUUCAGGGAAGUUUAUAAUGAGUGGAGCACGCAGUUAAACAUCAAUACCGCAGUCGAUCAUGUUCAUUUAAUUGUGGGAAGCAGAAAACGUGAUUGCGAUUAAUAUUCAAUUAAUUGUGCAGCUCUAGUCAAUGACCAAAAACUGUUCAUCCACAAUGUACUGCAGCUGCUCUCAGCGAUUACACUUCAACAUCGCAAAUUGCAUAAUUUUUAACUUGAAAGGGCACUAAAUAUUUCAUGACAUUUUAUUACCUUCACUUGACAUUUCAACUCCUUUCAGCACUUUCACCUCAGCUGACACUUCACUCAGA